CGGCCAUUGGCUCCGUUGGAUUCCCCCAACGUCCCAUGUAUCCACCGCGCACCCGCUGUCCGCGUCUGCCCCUGGCUCUGGUUCAAUUUACGCAUCCAGAUACGAUGAAGGUGGGGCUCGCCAUGGAAGCGGUCGCGGAAGGCUGCUGGACAGAAGGCGCCGCUGUGCCUCAUGGGGAUCAAGGUCUGAAUCCAACUAUUAUUCCUCGCAGUAUUCUAAUAGUAACCUGAUCAUUAUGCAUAUGUUAUCGAUCUAGCAAUUAGUUGUUUGGUGUGAUUGUUGUUCGUGAGGUGCUAAUAGGAGUUUCAGGAUAAGUAAAACCACAUCUUGGACGGGAGCCAACAGUGGAUUCACGAUGGGAUUUUCUUUGACUCCUCCAAGUGAUCAGGGGUGGGAGAUUUCGGUGGAUUUGUUUGCUGCGACUUUAUGGGGGGUGGUCGCUUCAAGGAUCAGGUACCUGAUGCUUGACAUGUUGCUUGGAGAAUAGGGGUCCGGUGUUCAACACCACCUUCAGCCCUCUGUCCCAGAUGCUCAUCGCACGCCCAUCCACUUUGGAAGCACGCUGGAGUCAGUAUGUGUGAUCAUGUGGCUCUACCUUGUUUAUCUGGUUGCAUGUAUACUCACAUGCGAAAUAUUAGGUGUCACUCAAGUUGAGGAAUUGAAGGAGGCUUGAAAGAAUGCACAUGGUUGGAAAUUUAUAUUCCUUUUGAUUUCAUAAACUGGUUCAGUUUUCUGUCAGACUCAGUACUAUGUCGUUGGUUUCAUGAACUGAAAAGUCCAUAGUUGAUAACUGGUUCAUAAACUGAAAGUCCCAAACGGCUGAGUUUGAUUUGUAAAGAUACACAGGCUGGCGGCGCUAGGCGCGGGGAUGGGGAGGCCGAGAGGGAGCGAGAAAAAGGGGGUCUGACGAAAACAACACUGUUAUCGGCGGUGGUGGCCGCAGCAAGGCACGGCUAUUUCCUGUGUAUCUUUAUAAUGUACAAGUCUCGUUUUUGUUCUGCCUGCAAGGUGUUGGGAAAUCCAUGCUUUGUGCUGGAAGGAACGCUCUAUUAACUUUUUACUACAUUUUUAUGUUGGCUAAAAAUCCAUUCACGUCUUUGAUCUACAUAUGUCUAUUAGAUUUUGAGAACAUAAGAAAUGAUCUACUAAGUAAGUUGGCAGAUGAGUACUUAAGCUCAUGUAAGGAUUUUGAGGUCUUUGUCUCGUUACUGAAGGUUAAAAUUGUGGAGUUGAAGACGAAGAUGGAUAGCUUGUUGAAUGCUAUCAGCUUAAGUGCAUGGAAGUAUACUAGGAGCAUCAGAGAGUCAUCGGUGACCGGAAGAGUAUCAUGCCUAAGGUUACAUUGAAGCAAUAACCAUAUAUUUAGCGCGUGAACUCUUUGAGAACUAUUAUUGAACAUGUAGAUUGGCUUGAAUUUGACUUGCUGGUAAUUCAAUUAUUAAACAACUUAGGAAACACCCAGAUAUUCUAAGUGGUCUGUGCUAUCAUCUACCAACAUAAGGUAUGCUAAAACGCUGCUGGCCAACCACCUCAAUUGUCUUCGCCUUGUGUUAGCAUGUCAGAAAAGCUAAAAUACGCCGGUCCAAAUUGUGUUCUCUUCGCCUUGUUUUCCAGUGAAAUUUUCACUAUUAAAAGGUGUAUUUGUUUUUAUGUCAUCCACAUCUCUGAUAAUUUGCAUGUCCAUUAGGUUUAUACAUGUGAAGUGAGCAAGAACUUGCAGCCCAGUUCUGUUGUAAUAAUUGCGCUGAGGCUGGACAUGAUAAUCUGUAUUAGAGCUAAUGGAGUUUCCGUGAAUGAACAUUGUGGAACAUGCAGUUUUAACUUUCAUGAUGCUGACAUAUUAAUAGACGGGGUGAAAGGUUCUUUAGCAAGAUAAGAGACAUAUGAGUAUAUGAAAGUGCAGGUUAUGGUCAUGAUGGUUGUCUGGAUGGCAUGAAUGGAAGUUGCAUGGCCUGCAAAGAGUUUGGUAGAGAACAAGGUGGACAUUCCCUGAAUGAACCUUCUGCCUGCCUUGUUGAGAACAUAUGGUUUUGCUUGAACUAUAUGUGCCAAACUUGGAUGAGGUUACACAUUGCCAUGUAAGAUCUUUUUUGUGAUCAGUCAGCCAUAUAGCUAAUUGCAAGUUUUAUCAGAGUAUGUCCAGUCAUAAUUGCAAGCUAGCGAGUGUCUAGAUACAUCUAAAUUUUAACAAAUUUGUGACAUCCUUUUACGGAGAGUGGUAGUACUAUGGGUUAUUUUAGCAUGACUUCUGAACUAAAGAUAGACUACAGCCAGUCGAGAGCCAAUAUUUGCGGCUGAAUUUGAGAACUUAUGGAGCUUUACUAUUUGACAUGUUUCUCAUCUUCCGAACAAUAAAGCAGUGCACCUGAAAUUAGUUUCAGGGGGCAUUCAAUGUUCUGAUCUGCAACUUCUGUUUUUCCCAUGUAAUAUUUACCUUGAAUGGUAUUUAAGUUUAUCGCUGAUUACCUUAACAAAGUUUCUAUUUCUUUCUGAGGCAGGUUUCAUAUAGUUAAAUAUCUGUGGCAGGUGGUGAUGCAGAAUUUGCACCAAGCGUACGUCGAUGAAUUUUUUACAAGUUUUCUUAGUUAGCCUGCUAAUAAUAAUAGGAGCAAUUGCAAAGAUGGUAUCUAUAGGUGAAAUAGUGCGAGUAUCGAGAAGAGUAUGCAUCUAAUCAUCUGGGGCGAGACCUUAAUCUUAAGUACCACAAAUGUCCGAUUUAUGCAAUGAACGAUGCUGAAAUGUGAUGCGUUACUAAUAGCCAAGUUGAUUAGCCUGAAUCAGACUCUUGAAGCUGUCUCCUAGGAGGGAUCCUUUCCCCUCAUCAGCGUCUAACAUUUUCUUGGGGAAUUCAAGUGAAGUCAGUACAAGCUACUGAAAUACUCUCAGAUGAGUAGUUGGACACGUUAGAAGCAAAUGAAGAUGCAAGCCCUGGCUGUCACGUGUCAGCAAAUGAUGUGACUUAUUAGACAGUAUUUACUACUAAGUACUAUAAAUCUAUAAUAUACAAUUAUAGGUUGAUGAUUUGCUCUUUUGGAAUAACAAUCUCUCAACCUGAACUGUUUUUUGACAUGCCUAUCUUUCUAUGUACUAAUAGGUUGAUUUGCUCUUCUGGAAUAACGAUCACUCAACCUGAGUUCUUUACCACCGGAUAGUACAAUCUAUUGGUCCCUUUCUAUGUCCGUGUUUACAACAAUUAUUAUUUACCACAUUAUACUUGGAAAAGUGAUGCAUGACAAGCUAACUACAGGUACGUUGUAGUUUGUUCGGUAGCAUGUGUCUUCAGAGCAUAUAAAUCUGAUUAGCAGAAUGUGUUUUCUAAUUCCAUGUCUUCAGAGCUAAGUCCCCGCGUUCUCAUUUUGGUUGCUUCCACUUUUCAAUAUUUGGUUAUUGUUGAUUUCCGUCUACCUUGCACCUUUGGACAUAAUAACAAUACAUAUUUCUAUCUUCAUGGUAAAGCUCAUCUUAUGGUGAUAUCUACAUGAAAAAUUUAUGAAGGAUGAAGCAUGGAAUUGAUCGAAAAUUCAAUUCGACUCCCCGGUGCAUAUGCUCCCUCUACGGAAACAUUAUAUUUCGAAUUUUUUCAUGUAAACAUUGAUGUGAAAUUUUUUGAAUUUUUUUACAUGUAAAUCUCCAUAAUAUAUGUACGUUCAUCAAGUUUCGCGAUGAACCAAUAUUUUUAUGGUCUAUGUAAAAAGGAUAAAAUUUAUCUUCUGAAAAGCUAUAUUUCUAGCUAUGAAUUUUGUUGUUUUUACUCACGCCACACGAUAAGUCCGUUUUUCAUGAAACGACUUUGUGGGCGCGUAUAAAAGGUUAGUAGAGGUCUAUGUAGGACAAUUGGGCACACACAUAUGCAUGCCUAAUAUUUUUUCUGCAAGUCAGAGAUGUCCUCUUUAUAUGGUUAGGACCGCAGUUGUCAGAUUGACACAAAUUUGACUUUUUAACAUACUAUUUUGCUUGCUGCCUUACUGACUUUU